AAAACUUUCAACAACGGAUCUCUUGGCUCUGGCAUCGAUGAAGAACGCAGCGAAAUGCGAUACGUAAUGUGAAUUGCAGAGCACAUUGCGCCCCUUGGUAUUCCGAGGGGCAUGCCUGUUCGAGCGUCGUAUUUAGUGAAUCAUCGAAUCUUUGAACGCACAUUGCGCCCCUUGGCAUUCCGAGGGGCAUGCCUGUUCGCCGU
rnacentral:rRNA from 1 species